UACGUAGGUGACCAGCGUUGUCCGGAUUUACUGGGCGUAAAGAGCGCGCAGGCGGUCGUUCAAGUCGAGUGUGAAAGCCCCCGGCUCAACUGGGGAGGGUCACUCGAUACUGAUCGACUGGAAGGCAGGAGAGGGAAGCGGAAUUCCCGGUGCAGUGGUGAAAUGCGUAGAUAUCGGGAGGAACACCAGUGGCGAAGGCGGCUUCCUGGCCUGUUCUUGACGCUGAGGCGCGAAAGCUAGGGGAGCAAACGGG
rnacentral:rRNA from 1 species